CCUAGGAUAGGUUUACUGGGGCAACGUGUGCUGGGCAGCGGCCAGGACUGCCUCAGUCUGGAGUUGCCCGUGUGAGAGGCAGCGUGCUGGGCUGAGUGUCCCCUCAGCUUGCUGCUCUGUACGAGAGAGUUUGUUCCCUGCGCCUUCUGGUUAGGGAACGGGUCCUGACUGUUGCCUGUGCUUCUGCACCGAGCAACAGUCAGAGUCUUGGAGUCCCUGGGUAGGAUGGUUGAGGGCGCUCCACCCGGGGACUCUGUCAUCUUGGAUGUGCUUGCUCGUAGGACGUCAUAUGAUUGUAUUAUUGUAGGGUCUACUUUACAGUAUAAAGCCCCUUGAGGGGAUGUUGUUGUGAUUUGGUGGUGUAUAAAUAAAGCUGAAUUGAAUUAAAUUACUAUGUGAUUUUCUACAUUUCACAAUGGACUAAGAAAAAAAUCCCAUUCACUUGACAUUAAUAUUACAAUAAUACAUAAUACAACUGCGACCUGUCCAGGCUGUGCCCCGCCCCUCUCCCUAUGACAGCUGGGAUAGGCUCCAGUGACCCCCGUGACCCUGAAAAGGAUAAGUGAAGUGAAUAGAUGGAUGGAUCAGAGUGGUGGUUACACUUAACAUCACCAUACAGUACAAAUCAGUGAGAGUAAAUGUUUAUUGUUCAACUAUUACAAAAAUAUACGUGUAUAUAGCAUUAAAGAUCAAUUUUAAUGUUGCCAGGGAGAUGAGUCCACAUUACAAAACAGCUCACUCUCCACCUCUGAAUAAGCUCAGAAAUUUGCAGCCGUUACAGUAAAUAAAAGCAAUAAAAGAUGAUCAGUGUUAUGUCAGGUACAUGUUUGGUAAGAACUCGACUUGCUUGUUCAAGCUGUGAAAUUCACACAAACAGUGUCUAAUUAUCCACGGUGGUAAAUCCCACCGACACCAAGUGCAGCUCUUUUCUUUGGUAUUUGGCACAUUUGUCCACAGUUUGUCGACUUUGUGUAAUUUAAAGAUGUCUGAAGCUGAACGACUCCUCGGUUACUCUGGGUAACUGAACAGGACAGAUUCAGGAUUUAUGAUUACAGGAACUUUCCUUUAGUUUUCAGUUGAUUAAUAAACGUGACAGAUUUAGAGUUUAGAAAGCAAGAAUACUCAUGAUUAGCUCAACAUUUAGAGUAACUAGCAAUGUGAGUAUAAUUAUAAGUAUAAAAAGAAAUUAUUUGUGAAAUCACAGAAUACUUGAAAGUGUCACCUGCAGCAGCAGCAGCAGCAGCAGCAGCAGCAGCAGCAGUCUACAGCACAUUCAUUGACUCUGCUUCAACAUUAGUUUCAUCUUGUUUUUGUCUUUUUUGCUUUUGUGCUUUUCUGAUUAAUUUUCGAGACCCUUGUAAAGCAAAAGCCAAGUGAAAGAGAAGAAGAGUGACGCAGAUAACCCAGGUUAUGAUCAAUGACCAAAGUGAUUCCUUCUUUCUAUACUGGCACUCUUGCAGCAGCAUGUCCACCGACGCCUCCAGCUCCCUGAACACCAGCAGCAAAUGGCCACAUUCAUCAUCAUCACUAAUCCAGCCUCGCAGUGCAAUUUUUAUAGUUGAUUGUUCGAAUCCAAAGAAGGUCAACAGGACUCGGUCAGAUAAUAGUUGGCAAUCAAACUCUGGACUUGAAUUUGAGCUCAGGUACAAAACAUCUGUGGCGUUGUCUGUCGCACAGUUGUCUAUGGUGACUGAGCCGUUGCUGAAAGUGAACAUGUAAAUGUCAUUUCCAUCACCUCCAACCAGAUAAUCUCCACCGGUGGACACCAAGAUGUCGUUACCAUCUGAGCCUUUGAGAAGAGAACUUUCAUAACCAGACACUAAGAUGUCCGAAUAGAUGGUGCCGACCACAGUUUCCACAUCAUUCAACACGUCGCCCUCAGCGUCAGCGUAGUGGCCUUGGCCCGUCAGCAGGUUAACAUAAACCCCUUCACCCUUCUUAUGAUCACCCCGAUAGAGAACCGAGUCUCUGCCUGGACCUCCGUCCACCAGAUCAGCUCCUGGUCCAGGAAGGAAGACGUCCCGGCCAGAGUUUCCCAUCAGUGUGUCAUUUCCAUCUUCACCAUAAAGAGUGUCGUCUCCUCUCCCACCAAUCAGGAUGUCAGCUCCAUUUCCUCCUACCAGCGUGUCAUCUCCAUCACCUCCAUCCAAGGCGUCGUCCUUCCACCCACCAAUCAGAGCGUUGUCUCGGUUGUUGCCUAUUAUAACAUUAGACUGGGAGGGGCAGCCUUGCACUGUGUGAACCUCUGACAGAUUUCUCUGAGUGCUGAGGUCCAAACGACAGUCCACCUGAGACUGUCUGAGAGUCACUUUGAAAGCUUCUACCUGAUAGAAAGAGUCACCUGCAGCUGAGUUUAGAGAUUUGAGUUUGAAAUGGACGCCAUCAGAGCUCUGAAAUUCUAGAUGCUGAUGUUUUUCACCAUUAGCAUAAUUGCGGAGAAUGAAUUCUAAUCUUUCCUCAUUUUUCAUGAUUCUAACAUGAAUAUCCUUUCUUUUUGAGUCCAGUAUGACUCGACUUCCAUCAAGGAAAUCCAUGUCUACCAGCACAGUGUCAGUUUUCUGAUCUUCUGCAAAGUUAUCAAUGAUUAUGUGGUCUCCAUAUUUAUGUUUGAUUAUGUAAGUGUCUUUGCCUUCCCCUCCUAUCAUCAGUGCCCCCCCGGUGUGUGGAUCCAGUAAAUUAUCAUUGCUGUUUCCAACCAUGAUGUCAAAUCCUGAGGAGCCGUACAUUUCUUUCAAUGAUUCAACGUCUUGUAUUUUCAUCAUUUUCCCCUCGUGCAUGCAGUUGCCUCUAUCAAAAUAAAUCCUUGCAUUUUGAUGACAGUACAUUUUCUCUUUAGCAAAAUACAGGCAUAGAUUGUCAUAGUUUAGUGGAAGACGUUCAGGACUCAGGUUUCUGUAGUCGAUGGUUAAAGGCAGCAUUAAAUCCUGUCCACAGCUGCUGAUGUUGGGCUUCAGUCCAGCUGUUAUUCCAUCACUGGUCUUGAUCUGCAGGUGCUGAUAAUUCUUUGAUUUAAACCAGUUCUGUAAAAUAACAGUUCUUCUGCCCUCUACCUGAAUGAUGACGCUCUGACCUUCACAUCUACAUGUUAUAUGCUGAUAUUGUUCUUUAAGGAAGAGCAGGUCCAAGGUUAGAUCUGGUGAUAGAUUGUUGAUGGUUUUCACUCCUUGUCCUGCUGUGAUAACGUACCAGUCCUCUCCUCCUCUCCCCUCAAUGAAAUCAUCUCCUAAUCCAGGGACGACAACGUUGUGUUCUUUGUUUCCUUUGAUGACAUCACUAUAGUUUGACCCGCGGACCUCUGUCACGCUGUCCAAAGCCUCAUCCUUCUCAAGGUCCACCUCCAGAGGAGACGGGGAGCUGCUGUAGUCAAUGCUGAGGCUCUUUAUACAUGUGGUGAAGAUGUUGCUCUGCAGGCAGUCAGUCUUGUUAUCUGACACUGUGAAGGUGAUCAGAUCCUUUGUGAUGAACAGUAAGUGUCUGUGUGCUGAUGAGCUGAACCAGUUCACUACAGUAACAUGAAACGCUGUGCUGUCAUGUUGAGCCUCCAGAUGAACAUCAUCACCUUCUACUCUGACUCCAAACGUAUGAAGAUUUGCUUCUACGAUGGCCAGGUCAGUUUUCUCGUCUCUGGAGUAAUUUUCAAUGAACACAGAGGAACGUUUUCUGCCUUUCACCAUGUAAAUGUCUUCUCCUUCAGCACCAAUCAGACGAUCUCGCCCUCCUCCCCCAUCUAUCAGGUUUCUUUCUCCAUUUCCAAUGACUUCAUCAUCAUACUGGGACCCAAAGAUGUUUGUAACUGUGCGUAAAAGUAGCUGUGAUGCAUCAACAACUGCACCGUGUUUCUCAAACAUCUUGUUAAUUCCUCUGGCCACCAGCUGAACUGAAGAAACCACCGUGGAGGAAAUCUCAAAUAAGACUCCGUCUCCUGACAUCAUGUUCAUGUGACGAUAAUCUUCUCCUAAAAACCAGUUUUGUAUUCUUACAGUAUGACUGCCCUCAUACAUCAGCACAGCAUCAUUUCCUGACUUAGACACAGAAAUGUGGCUGUAGUCGACACUGAAAAGCAGAGUGUCUUGUGCUCUGGAGGGAUCGUAGUUGUUAAUGAUCGUUUUCCCUCCAUUCUCAGGAAUGAUGUAAGUGUCUUUUCCUCCUGAGCCUUCAACAUAACUUCUCUGUGGACCGAGGAAGAAUGUGUCAUCCCCUGGUUCCCCAUAAAGUUUGUAAUAGUAGCUCAACAUGACUCCAAUCAUAUAUUUGUCCUGUGAUUUCUGAACUGCAAAAAAUCGAUUAGAGUCUCUGUUUCCCCUGUAUGUCCCGUAUCUUGAAUUGGUAAGAUUUUUAUAACCCGAAACCACUGUCACAUGUCCAGCUGGUAUGAACACGGCUAUUUUGUUUUCAUAUGUCGUGUGCUCUAAUCCAUGUGACUCUCCCAGACCAAGAAUUAUAUCUUUGCUUCCAUUUGUGUUAAUGCUCCAGCAUUGUCUUCUUGGACUCUCAUCAUGAGAAACAAAAUAGUCCAUGCAGAGCUCAGACUGACCCUCAUCAGCGAGGCAGAAGUUAAUGCCUCCUCCAUUCCAGGAGGAGGCGCCAGCAGUAAAAUCAAUGGCAGUCGUUCCAUCCUGUUGCUUUGUGAUAUUAUAAUAUUGGUGAUAAUCUGAGAUCUGUGCAACAAGUCUUCAUCCCUCCUCAAUUUCAUCAUAAUGCCAGUCAUAAAAAAAACUAGCCACAUGUAUAGCAAAGUGCAUGAUCCCUUUUCCAAAGCCAACAAAAACAGCAGCUAUUUUGUCCAAAACUCCAGCGUCCGCUGGGAGGCUGUUCAGUUCAUUCUGGAUGCCCAUAUAAACAUCAUCAAUGGCCAUCCGCACUACUGAUAGAGCCAGAUUUAUAGGUGCGAUGAAAGGUGCCAGUUCAGGCUGAACAAGCUCAACAACAUCUAACUCAACCAUGAUUAUAUCUAACGCAGCAUCAAUGUAUCCCAGAGCAUCUCCUCUUUUAAAAUCUUCUAUCACAUUGUAGAUCCCAAAUCCAAUUCCCACUAUUGGUAUAACUACCAUAAAACGCUUCAUUGCAGGACUCCUCAUGAUCGUUGUUGCAGCUUUUGCGAUUCUUGACUCUGAGGUCAAAGCUUUGCUUGCAAUAGCAGAUGUUGUCAUAGCCGUCACUCCAUGAGCCGUCUGCAAAGAGCCCAUCACACCAUCUUCGAUGUUUCCCUCUUCAAAGGCACGAGCAGCUCCUUUCAGUCCCAGCAUGAGACCCAGAGCUCCAACAGGAGUUCCAGUCCUCUCUACAUACUUGUUGACCUGAUGGGAGGAUGCUGAACUGUGCUCCUCCAUCUCAUGCACUGAUGUCUCAAUGUUCUUCCACAUCUUUUCACUGUAAUGUUGACUCUGUGGAGAUAAAUCAGCCCUGAACUCCACGGGCUCAGCACCAGCUCUCUCUGACACGAGCUUACAUACAAACUGUCCGUUUUCUAUUCGGGCCGUUCCCUCCUGAAGGUGCAUUCCUGCCAGAGUUUCACCGUAUCUGUCCUGUAGUGCAGCAUGGACGUCUUCAGCCAACGAUGCUGAUGCUCUAGAGAAAUAAGAUUCAUGUUUGAAGGUAUUUUCUAAUUCUGAGGCUGAAUUCAGGUCUCGCAUUGUGACGUAGCCAUCAUCGUAUCCUCCCAGUGUUCCAGAUGUGGAAGGUUUUCUGUGAUCGUCAGGUUGUGUUAUCUUGUUGGUGUCUGUUUUGAAAUCAUUGUAUUUUUUUUGAAAGUCUGAAUUAUCCGUCACUGUUUUGUAGGUGUUUGAAAGUUCAGUUAUGCGUUUCACCACAUCACUUUCACCAUUACCAACGGUUUCCUUCCAUUCUGUAAAGAAGUUACCCUCUCGUUUUACAAGGUCAACAAGGCUACCCAUUAGCUCCUCCUCAGUUUUACGGUGUUCUUCUUGAUUUGUUAAUUUGCUGGAAUCUUCAUGUGUUGCUGAGCCUGUGAAUCCUCGUCUGCUCGGGUCAAUCCAACUGCCUCCUCUUGUCAUUGGAUGAUUGUCAAAGAAGAAAUCCAGUCCUUUCUGUCGGAUAUUAUUGUCCUUGCUUUGAACCAGAUCCAGGGCCAUAAGAGUCAGAGGGAACGUCCGGAAAUUUCUUGCAGAUUCAGAUAUAACUGUUGCAGUGAAAUACGUGGUGAACCAGGCCUUCAUGGAAUGACUUCCUUUAAAAACACCUGGGUGCUCCCCACGAAAAGUAUUUUCUACAUAUUCAGCAUAUCUUUGCUUUUGUUGUUUUUUUUCGUUAUUAUUCAUUUUUUCAUUCUUUACAUUUUUAAAAAUCUUGUCUCGCAUGUCUGGGUAUUUUUCGUUCCCCACCUGUUCAUUAAUACAUUUCUUAAUAUCAUCAAUUACAUUAUUGUUGUUUUCUAUUUCAUUGUUGUCAAGCUUUUUUCCAACUGGAUACACGUACAGACUCCGAGGGUCAACUUCAUAUAUCCAGUCAUUGAUCUUCAGGUAUGUAGUCUUUUUUUCUCCAUUCUUUGCAUAAUGACGUAUUAUAUUUUUUAUAUCUUCUCCUGAUUUAAUCUCAUAACAUUCAUUAAGGAGUCGUCUUUUUUCACCUUCAUCAUCAUCUAUCCACCUAAUAGUUGUUUUAGUUUCCUCUUUUAUAAUCUUUUUUUCUCUUUUCCCUAUUAAAUAUCCUUUUAUUUGUUUUGCAUUGUUGACACUGAUUUUCUUUGGUACUGGUUGAUCUGAGUGAAAGAUUCCCCAAGACAGAGCCUCGAGUUCAUCAAUGGCAGAUUUCAUCUCGUUAACUUCAUUUUGGUCAAUCUUGUUAAAAACCUCUGGGUCAACAAACCUCUUUGGUUCAUCUGGCCAGCUGUCUUCUCUUAUAAAUUUUUUUAGUGUUUUUUUGUUUCCCCUGUUUUCUCCUCCACCCAGAAAGUUUCUUUCAUUGGUAAAAACAGCCUCUCCUUUACUCCCAGGCUCGUUUCUCAUUAUUACAUCUCCGUUGCUAUCAAGUAUUGCCACCACUUUCUUGCUGUUGUCUUUAUGUCUCCAUUGCAGCCCCUCUGGAGAGAUUUCCUGAGUGAUUUUCUUUCCUGUGUGUGUGACUUGGACGAGAGCGUCCCUCAUAUGAAGCUCUGUCUUGAUGUCAUUUUUAUGGAGGUCCCUCAGCAGAGUUUCCAUGAAUCGUUGGUCUGAUCCGACCUCACAGGCCACCACACUUGUUGUUUUGAUUUUAUCGCUGCCUCUGUUUGUCCUUUCGAUGAUUUUUGCCACCUCUCCUGAACUGUAUCCUGACAGUCUCAUUUCUCCUGCGUUGUCUCUUUCACCAUGACCUACCAGCACCAGUCUGCUGUCCUCUGACAGAGACACUGGUUCACCGUGGAUCAGUUUGGGUCUUUGGUUUUCAUCAAGAACAUAGACAGAACUGACUGCUGGAUGUUUCUCAUACAAAUAUUCAGCAGCUUUUAUGACCACAGGGUCAUUUUCCAUCAUUACGAUCUGCUGGUGGUCAUACUGUGUGCUGUGAUCAGCUGGUCUUUGUGGGAUUUUGUAGCUGGAAACUGAGUCAGGUCGAUCCAUCACCUGGUAAAUCUGCUGAUUGUUUUGGUUGGUUUCUAAGACUGUUUGGAGGCCGCGGAGCAUAAAAACCCGAAUGAAGUUCUGUUGGAACUGUGUGGUUGUGUUUCCAUCGAGAGAGAAAACUGGAGCCGCUUCCAGAGAUGGUUUCAACAUCAGCUUUGCAAGUGAAGAUCCAUCAAGUCCAGACACAGUUUGUCCAUCUUCUGAAACACUUCCAAAUAUUUUGACUACAGUGUAGCUGUCUGCUGCUGGUACACAGGAGUCGUUGAACAGGCAGUCCGUGGUGACUUUCACGGAGUAAUGAGGAUCCAUGCUGUAUUCCUGCUGGACUCUGUCACUGGUGGAUUUCUCUGUGUCGGUCAUGAUCAGAAGUUUUUGGUUGUAGCUGUGUGAGAUCUCUGAAGCACCCAGCAGCCAGUCUUGGACCUUCUGUUUCUCGAUAUGUGCCAAGAAGGCAUUAAAGUCCUGAAAAAUGAAGCAAAGAGUGGAAUGAGAGAGAGCUCCAGGAUAACUGUUUUGGUCUCAGUUAAUUUCUAUAAGGUGAGAUUUCUGAGCAUUUUUUUUGAUCUAUUCAAUUCAAUUCAAUUCAAUUUUAUUUAUAUAGCGCCAAAUCACAACAAAAGUCGCCUCAAGGCGCUUUAUAUUGUACAGUAGAUAGCACAAUAAUAAAUACAGAGAAAAACCCAACAAUCAUAUGACCCCCUAUGAGCAAGCACUUUGGCGACAGUGGGAAGGAAAAACUCCCUUUUAACAGGAAGAAACCUCCAGCAGAACCAGGCUCAGGGAGGGGCGGGGCCAUCUGCUGCGACCGGUUGGGGUGAAAGAAGGAAAACAGGAUGAAAGACAUGCUGUGGAAGAGAGACAGAGAUUAAUAACAGAUAUGAUUCGAUGCAGAGAG
ensembl:lncRNA